rnacentral:rRNA from 1 species
AAUAGCCUGACGGCUGAACCAGCAACUUGGAGGAAUGUAUAGCAAUAGCUGAUUGCACCAACAAAUAGUUGAUGCAAUAUCGACUUUGUCGAAUAAAAUUCUAGGUAGAAUUAUGAUAAUGACAUUGUCUGCCUAUGUGUCUUGACCAAAUUACGUGCCAGCAGUCGCGGUAAUACGUAGAAGACUAGUGUUAUUCAUCUUUAAUAGGUUUAAAGGGUACCUAGACGGUAAAUCAAGCCUAGACAGGGACUAAUUUACUAGAGUUACUUACGAGGGAGUAUUAAAGUACUGCUGGUGUAGAGAUGAAAUUUUGUGAUACCUCUUUUCGAAAGAAAAACUAUGGCACAGGUAUAGGCGAAAGCAUCCCCUUAUGUGAUAA